rnacentral:rRNA from 1 species
GAUGAACGCUGGCGGCGUGCCUAAUACAUGCAAGUCGAGCGAACAGAUGAGGAGCUUGCUCCUCUGACGUUAGCGGCGGACGGGUGAGUAACACGUGGAUAACCUACCUAUAAGACUGGGAUAACUUCGGGAAACCGGAGCUAAUACCGGAUAAUAUAUUGAACUGCAUGGUUCAAUAGUGAAAGACGGUUUUGCUGUCACUUAUAGAUGGAUCCGCGCCGCAUUAGCUAGUUGGUAAGGUAACGGCUUACCAAGGCAACGAUGCGUAGCCGACCUGAAAGGGUGAUCGGCCACACUGGAACUGAGACACGGUCCAGACUCCUACGGUAGGCAGCAGUAGGGAAUCUUCCGCAAUGGGCGAAAGCCUGACGGAGCAACGCCGCGUGAGUGAUGAAGGUCUUCGGAUCGUAAAACUCUGUUAUUAGGGAAGAACAAAUGUGUAAGUAACUAUGCACGUCUUGACGGUACCUAAUCAGAAAGCCACGGCUAACUACGUG